rnacentral:rRNA from 1 species
GACGAACGCUGGCGGCGUGCUUAACACAUGCAAGUCGAACGGAAAGGCCCUGCUUUUGUGGGGUGCUCGAGUGGCGAACGGGUGAGUAACACGUGAGUAACCUGCCCUUGACUUUGGGAUAACUUCAGGAAACUGGGGCUAAUACCGGAUAGGAGCUCCUGCUGCAUGGUGGGGGUUGGAAAGUUUCGGCGGUUGGGGAUGGACUCGCGGCUUAUCAGUUUGUUGGUGGGGUAGUGGCUUACCAAGGCUUUGACGGGUAGCCGGCCUGAGAGGGUGACCGGCCACAUGGGGACUGAGAUACGGCCCAGACUCCUACGGGAGGCAGCAGUGGGGAAUAUUGCACAAUGGGCGGAAGCCUGAUGCAGCAACGCCGCGUGCGGGAUGACGGCCUUCGGGUUGUAAACCGCUUUCGCCUGUGACGAAGCGUGAGUGACGGUAAUGGGUAAAGAAGCACCGGCUAACUACGUG